rnacentral:tRNA from 1 species
GUCAGGGUAGCUCAGCUGGU